CAUAAAUACUGGAGACUGAGACAGGAGGGGUCAGGAGACACUGUGGCCCCAUCCGAUGAUACCCCCGGACAAGGCCAACAGGUGUGGUUCCUGUGGGGGAAAGAUUCUAUUGGGGAAAGGUUCCCGUGGGGGUUGCCAUGGAAGCCAAGAAGGGGAGUGACGUGUGUGUGUGCGUGCUCAAACACACAUGCAUGUGGGGGUCUGGGAGAGGAAGUAUGUCCAUCUGAUGAAUGGGCAUGUGCCUGAACUCAAUUUUAAACACUAAUUGUAGUCUCACCCAUUCAUUUCUAAUGACUGGUCAUUUUAGACUGGAACACCACAGGUGUACAAAAGUUAAAUAAAACACCCACAAUGUAAUGAAAAUCAUCAAAAUGUAUUUUGUGUGUUCAGAUGCCCUGUGUGGACAAAGUCAUGGAACCUUAUGACAAUCAGAUUAAAUGAACUACAUUUUUCAGAGAGAGAACUUGUAAAUCAGUCCAAUUUGACCGGAACACAGCAGUAGUGUUAACUACCCUUCAACAACAAAACAGCUUCUAUUUCAGCCACCUCGGCAACUUGCUAGACAACAUAAGCGAAACAUUGAAGCUAAAUGACUAAAAUGUAAAAAUGUAUCUAAACUAUUUUGUGUGUAUUAACCUGUUUAAACACAGUCUGCGAAUUUAACUACGAGUUAAUCCAUUUCAUAUGUACAUUCUUAGUUAGUGAUGCUAGCUGGUUAACAUAGCACUAAGAAGCUAAUCGCUAGUAAUGCUAAAUUACUAGCUAACAUCCCAGACCAUGAGCUCAAUAAGCUACUCCCCCCUUGCUAAUGAAGAGGAGGUCUGCUGGACAGAGGAAGACUCUUUAAAGAGAAGGAAGAGGAGGCUGUUACAGUGAAAGUGGAAGAGGAAUACGUUACAGUGAAAGAGGAAGACGUUACAGUAAAAUAAGAGGAAGAAACUUGCAGAGCGAGAGGUGGACGAUUUUACGGUGAAAUAAGUGCUCGUAUCGUCGAAUUUCACCUGAUCGAGUUAUAUCAUCACACCGGGACGGUCCUGGGAACUCACUUCACAUUUACUGAAAAAAUUAAAUGACAAGACCCGGGAAAUUACAAAUCUUUCCCCCAAUGUCGUACUAAUGCAAUUCCAUAAAAUACACAACAUGUGCAGCAGUAUAUUAGCAAAAAAUUAAAUAGCACAUUGUCGCUUGGAAGCCUAGUGUAUUUACUUCACACAAAGUUGCCAUAAAUUCAAAGCACACACAUAAUUGACACUGCCGGACUGCACACUCGACCCAAAUGCAGAGUUACACACGAGUACCCGU
rnacentral:lncRNA from 1 species